AACCAGUACCGUGAGGGAAAGGUGAAAAGCACUUCGAACAGAAGAGUGAAAUAGUCCCUGAACCCAUACGCCUACAAGCUGUCGGAGCCGCUUCGUGCGGUGACGGCGUGCCUUUUGCAUAAUGAGCCUACGAGUUACUCAUCACCAGCGAGGUUAAGUACUUCAGGUACGUAAGCCGAAGCGAAAGCGAGUCUGAAUAGGGCGUCAAGUUGGUGGUGGUAGACGCGAAACCUUAGUGAUCUACCCAUGGGCAGGGUGAAGGUUUGGUAACACAAACUGGAGGCCCGAACCGGUAAACGUUGAAAAGUUUUCGGAUGACCUGUGGGUAGGGGUGAAAGGCCAAUCAAACUGGGAAAUAGCUCGUACUCUCCGAAAUGCAUUUAGGUGCAGCCUCUGUUGUUUUGUUCUAGAGGUAGAGCUACUGAUUGGAUGCGAGGGCUUCACCGCCUAUCAAAUCCGGCCAAACUCCGAAUGCUAGAACAUGAAGACAGGGAGUGAGCCAGCGGGUGCUAAGGUCCGUUGACGAAAGAGGGAGAACUCAGACCAUCAGCUAAGGUCCCCAAUUAUAUGCUAAGUUGGAAUUAAAACGGGGUGGGACUGCUUAGACAGCUAGGAUGUUGGCUUGGAAGCAGCCAUUCAUUUAAAGAGUGCGUAACAGCUCACUAGUCGAGCGGUCCUGCAUGGAUAAUACGCGGGCAUAAGCAUAUAACCGAAGCUAUGGGAUUGUAGAUGAUACAAUCGGUAGGAGAGCAUUCCAUUCAGCGUAGAAGCAGUAUCGUGAGGUAUUGUGGAGCGGAUGGAAAAGCAAAUGUAGGCAUAAGUAACGAUAAUGCGGGUGAGAACCCCGCACGCCGAAAGAUCAAGGAUUCCCCGGCAAUGUCAAUCAUCCGGGGGUAAGUCGGAUCCUAAGGGUAAGCCGAGUGGCGAUCCCGAUGGCAAACAGGUUAAUAUUCCUGUACUGAUCAUAACUGCGAUGCAGCGACGCAGAGGUGACACUGCUGCGUACUGACGGAAUAGUACGUUGAAACCCGUAUUCUUUGAUACCGGUAGUGAAGCACGCCGGUAGAGAUGAAAGGUGAUAGUACCGCAAUGCUUCGGUUGCGCGGAUAAUGCAGGUAAGCUGACUGCCAAGAAAACCUGCUAAGCUUCAGGUAAUGAUCAUCCGUACUGUAAACGGACACACGUGAUCAGGUAGAAAAUACUAAGGCGCUCGAGAGAUUCAUGGUUAAGGAACUAGGCAAAAUGGUCCUGUAACUUCGGGAUAAAGGACGCUCUUGUGAAAGAGCCGCAGAUAAUAGGCCCAGGCGACUGUUUACCAAAAACACAUGGCUAUGCUAAUUCGCAAGAAGAUGUAUAUGGCCUGACACCUGCCCGGUGCCGGAAGGUUAAGAGGAGAGCUCAGAGGUAACUCGAAGGUUUGAAUUGAAGCCCCGGUAAACGGCGGCCGUAACUAUAACGGUCCUAAGGUAGCGAAAUUCCUUGUCGGGUAAGUUCCGACCUGCACGAAUGGUGUAACGAUCUGGGUACUGUCUCAACCAUGAGCUCGGUGAAAUUGUAGUUCCGGUGAAGAUGCCGGAUACCCGCAACGGGACGGAAAGACCCCGUGAACCUUUACUGCAGCUUUGCAUUGAUUUUGGGUAACAGAUGUGUAGGAUAGGUCGGAGGCUUUGAUGCUGCGUCGUCAGGCGUAGAGUAGCCGUCGUUGAAAUACGACCCUUUUGUUAUCUGAGGUCUAAUCCCGUUAGGGAGACAUUGCAUGGUGGGUAGUUUGACUGGGGUGGUCGCCUCCAAAAGUGUAACGGAGGCUUCUCAAGGUACCCUCAAGGCGUUUGGUAAUCGUCUGCAGAGUGCAAUGGCAUAAGGGUGCUUGACUGUGAGACCGACACGUCGAUCAGGUUGGAAACAAGAGCAUAGUGAUCCGGUGGUUCCGCAUGGAAGGGCCAUCGCUCAAAGGAUAAAAGGUACUCCGGGGAUAACAGGCUGAUC
rnacentral:rRNA from 1 species